rnacentral:rRNA from 1 species
AUUGAACGCUGGCGGCAGGCCUAACACAUGCAAGUCGAGCGGAUGAAGGGAGCUUGCUCCUGGAUUCAGCGGCGGACGGGUGAGUAAUGCCUAGGAAUCUGCCUGGUAGUGGGGGAUAACGUCCGGAAACGGGCGCUAAUACCGCAUACGUCCUGAGGGAGAAAGUGGGGGAUCUUCGGACCUCACGCUAUCAGAUGAGCCUAGGUCGGAUUAGCUAGUUGGUGGGGUAAAGGCCAACCAAGGCGACGAUCCGUAACUGGUCUGAGAGGAUGAGCAGUCACACUGGAACUGAGACACGGUCCAGACUCCUACGGGAGGCAGCAGUGGGGAAUAUUGGACAAUGGGCGAAAGCCUGAUCCAGCCAUGCCGCGUGUGUGAAGAAGGUCUUCGGAUUGUAAAGCACUUUAAGUUGGGAGGAAGGGCAGUAAGUUAAUACCUUGCUGUUUUGACGUUACCAACAGAAUAAGCACCGGCUAACUUCGUG